UACAGAGGGGGCAAGCGUUGUUCGGAAUUACUGGGCGUAAAGGGCGCGUAGGCGGCCUGUUAAGUCGAACGUGAAAUCCCUCGGCUCAACCGGGGAACUGCGUCCGAUACUGGCGGGCUUGAAUUCGGGAGAGGGAUGUGGAAUUCCAGGUGUAGCGGUGAAAUGCGUAGAUAUCUGGAGGAACACCGGUGGCGAAGGCGGCAUCCUGGACCGGCAUUGACGCUGAGGCGCGAAAGCCAGGGGAGCAAAGCGGG
rnacentral:rRNA from 1 species